rnacentral:rRNA from 1 species
CGGACGGGUGAGUAACACGUGGGCAACCUGCCUGUAAGACUGGGAUAACUUCGGGAAACCGAAGCUAAUACCGGAUACGAUCUUCUCCUUCAUGGGAGAUGAUUGAAAGAUGGUUUCGGCUAUCACUUACAGAUGGGCCCGCGGUGCAUUAGCUAGUUGGUGAGGUAACGGCUCACCAAGGCAACGAUGCAUAGCCGACCUGAGAGGGUGAUCGGCCACACUGGGACUGAGACACGGCCCAGACUCCUACGGGAGGCAGCAGUAGGGAAUCUUCCGCAAUGGACGAAAGUCUGACGGAGCAACGCCACGUGAGUGAUGAAGGCUUUCGGGUCGUAAAACUCUGUUGUUAGGGAAGAACAAGUACAAGAGUAACUGCUUGUACCUUGACGGUACCUAACCAGAAAGCCACGGCUAACUACGUGCCAGCAGCCGCGGUAAUACGUAGGUGGCAAGCGUUAUCCGGAAUUAUUGGGCGUAAAGCGCGCGCAGGCGGUUUCUUAAGUCUGAUGUGAAAGCCCACGGCUCAACCGUGGAGGGUCAUUGGAAACUGGGGAACUUGAGUGCAGAAGAGAAAAGCGGAAUUCCACGUGUAGCGGUGAAAUGCGUAGAGAUGUGGAGGAACACCAGUGGCGAAGGCGGCUUUUUGGUCUGUAACUGACGCUGAGGCGCGAAAGCGUGGGGAGCAAACAGGAUUAGAUACCCUGGUAGUCCACGCCGUAGACGAUGAGUGCUAAGUGUUAGAGGGUUUCCGCCCUUUAGUGCUGCAGCUAACGCAGUAAGCACUCCGCCUGGUGAGUACGGUCGCAAGACUGAAACUCAGAGGAAUUGACGGGGCCCGCACAGCGGUGGAGUAUGUGGUUUAUU